rnacentral:rRNA from 1 species
AAGCUCGUAGUUGAAUUUCGAGAUCAGUACGCUGGUCGUGCCUUCGGUACUAUGCACUGGUGUCACUGGUUUCUCCCUUCUGAAGAACCGUAAUGCCAUUCAGUUGGUCUGGCGGGGAAUCAGGAUUGUUACUUUGAAAAAAUUAGAGUGUUUAAAGCAGGCUCGUGCCUGAAUACAUUAGCAUGGAAUAAUGAAAUAGGACGUUUGAUCCUAUUUUGUUGGUUUCUAGGAUCGACGUAAUGAUUAAUAGGGAUAGUUGGGGGCAUUAGUAUUCAAUUGUCAGAGGUGAAAUUCUUGGAUUUAUUAAAGACUAACUACUGCGAAAGCAUUUGCCAAGGAUGUUUUCAUUAAUCAAGAACGAAAGUUGGGGGAUCGAAGACGAUCAGAUACCGUCGUAGUCUUAACCAUAAACUAUGCCGACUAGGGAUCGGAUGAUGUUAAUUUUUUAAUGACUCAUUCGGCACCUUACGGGAAAC